GGCUGGUCCGAGUGCCCUGGUGUUUACAAUGAAUUGAUCACAACCAGUUACAGAUUCCUUUGUCCCUUCUCUACUCGCACUGUUUCACUUGACUAGUCUUAA
ensembl:misc_RNA Y_RNA Y RNA